rnacentral:rRNA from 1 species
UACGUAGGGGGCAAGCGUUGUCCGGAAUUAUUGGGCGUAAAGAGCGCGUAGGCGGUCCGAUAAGUCGGCUGUGAAAGUCAGGGGCUCAACCCUUGAAAGCCGGCCGAUACUGUCGGACUAGAGUCCGGAAGAGGCAAGUGGAAUUCCCGGUGUAGCGGUGAAAUGCGCAGAUAUCGGGAGGAACACCAAUGGCGAAGGCAGCUCUCUGGGACGGUACUGACGCUGAGACGCGAAAGCGUGGGGAGCGAACAGG